rnacentral:rRNA from 1 species
GACGAACGCUGGCGGCGUGCCUAAUACAUGCAAGUUGAGCGAUGAAGAUUGGUGCUUGCAUCAAUUUGAAGAGCAGCGAACGGGUGAGUAACGCGUGGGGAAUCUGCCUUUGAGCGGGGGACAACAUUUGGAAACGAAUGCUAAUACCGCAUAACAACUUUAAACAUAAGUUUUAAGUUUGAAAGAUGCAAUUGCAUCACUCAAAGAUGAUCCCGCGUUGUAUUAGCUAGUUGGUGAGGUAAAGGCUCACCAAGGCGAUGAUACAUAGCCGACCUGAGAGGGUGAUAGGCCACAUUGGGACUGAGACACGGCCCAAACUCCUACGGGAGGCAGCAGUAGGGAAGCUUCGGCAAUGGACGAAAGUCUGACCGAGCAACGCCGCGUGAGUGAAGAAGGUUUUCGGAUCGUAAAACUCUGUUGGUAGAGAAGAACGUUGGUGAGAGUGGAAAGCUCAUCAAGUGACGGUAACUACCCAGAAAGGGACGGCUAACUACGUG